GCUCCUUGAUUACUUAUCAAAUAAAAAUAAAAUUCACUUUCUUUAAUCACUUUCUCUCCCCGAUCUCAUUAGCUUAGUAGCAGCAGUGGAAGUCAUAGUAGUUGUAGCAGAGUAAGCUAGAGCCAGAAGCGUUCCACCUACUACCAUAUGGAGAGCCAGUUCUCGUCAUCCAUUUAUAUGUGCGCCACCUUGCCUAGCAUUUCUUACAAUUCGGAUAGCAGUAUACCUUCAAUUUCUAGAUCCAGAGCAUCUAAUUUAAAUUCGGAUAACCAUUUGCAGUUCUAUUUCGUGAGCCAUAGCCCGUAGAUAAAGGGGGCUGGCUGUUCCUUAGGAUGGGUUGGAAAUAUAUAUAGGAUAUAGGGAUCGGGGAGGAGAUUGUUAAGGUGGUUGAGUUACCCAUAGUGGCUUUCGGUCAAUCAUGGUGCGAAGCGAAGUAUUCGAGUGAAGAAAGAAGAGAGAGGGAAUGCUUUGCCAGCGAACCAGUAGCACGAUUGCAGUUCCUCGGUCUCAGUCCUGCGAGCGAAAGGUGCCAAGCUAAAGUAAGAGAAUCCGCUGCAAGUGCAAGACCAGACGUUAAUCAGGAAGCAUACAACAGCAAGCACACAUCUUUGCGGUCUUUCUAAACCUUAUUUAUUAUAUUAAGCCGGUGUCAGCCUUUAGGUUUUUAUCCCUAAUCUUGAGUGUUGAACCAUAGGUUCGGCACAAGAGGAAUCUUUCUUAGACUCGGUUCGCCGUCAGUUUGCAAACUGCGGGUGGGUGCGAACUACUAGAGGCCCGUCCAGGAGGUUAGUCAAAAUAGAGGACCUAGAACGCCUUGGUGAAUCAGACCCAGAGAUCAUGGCCAACAACGCCAGUCACCGAGGUAACUUGCUUACUCUCUAUGAUGGGGACAAUGAAGAGUCUACUGGCUGUAACCACCAGCGGAACCCUACAGCCCCGGCAAAUCAGCAACUUUCUAACGAGGUAGUUAGCCGUCAACUAGGUGAGAUUGCCUGGAUACUAGCACAAUUGACCUCGCAGGUAGCCGAAAUACCCUGGCUGCACCUGCUGCUCAAGGAACAAACCCUCCAUCUACCAUCCCGGCCCAGGGGACACAAAUG
rnacentral:lncRNA from 1 species